AUGGUCGACGCCCCGCUGGGUUCCGGCGGCCUGGCCGUCGACCCGCCCGCAAAGGUGAAGAAGAAGGCGGCAAGGAAGCCGCGGUCGGAGUGCACGCCGGAGGAGAUCACCAAGUUGGACGCGGAAUCGGCGAAGAGGAGGGAACGGAGAGCGGUCGUCAAGGUCAAUGCCGCCGCGGCCAAGUUCGCCGCCCAGCGCGAGGAGCUAGAGGCCGCGCGGCGCAAGGCCGCUGCCAACGAGAAGGAGGACCUCGUCAACAAAGCGCACGCCAUCCUCAUGCUUGGCAUGGGCCGUCCUGUCGGGUUCCCUGCAGCGACCGUCGGCCCGACAAGCACAAGCUCGUCGGUCGCCCGACCUACGCACUACCAGUCGCCGACGUCGCGCACCGCGCCCAUGUCGCCCUACUUCCCUCCGCCAAGGCACGACGGCCAGACCUGUUUCUCGAGGUUGUUGGAUGUGGGCGCGUUCGCGCCGUCCACACCGCGCCCCGCGGCCGUCAUCGACCUCAACGUCACGCCUGGGUCCAGUAGCGGCGGGCGGCCGCCCGUCGAGAUGCUAAGAAAGCAGGCACGGGCAUCGUUCACGGGCACCAUGCCGGCCCCCCGCGUCUUGUUUGAUGAAAUGCCAACCCCAACGCCAGCGGUCGACGACCCCUUCUACAACCGCUACAUGGAGGACGUGAUCUUCGACGGUGGGCAUGGUCGUGCCUACGACCCCGAUGAGACCCAAAGUCAGGAUGGCCGCACCGAGUACGUCCCCGAUGAAGGUGGGCACGACCGUGCUGACUACGACCAUGGUGACUCGUGGCAUGAGGACGAUGACAUCUAUGUCGAAGGUGAUGAUGAAGAAGAAGAAAGCAAUGACGUUGAUAUUAGUGGUGCGCCAUUGUUCAUCGACGAGCUCACCCAAAGAGCGGAGGCACAAAAGAAGAGGAAGAGCAUUCACACGGGUUCAUAUACACAAGAUGAGGACAAGUUGAUUUGCCAAGCUUGGAUGGAGAUUAUCCAAGAUCCGAGGACCGGGGCGCAACAAAAGGGCAUUGUUUUUUGGACGAGAGUCCACAAAACAUUCCAUGAAAGGAAGAUGUUUGAGCCCUUUCAAAUUACAAGCAACCGUGGCAUCGGUUCGAUUCAAAAAAGAUGGUUGUUCAUCCAACAAGAGUGCAACAAGUAUUGCGCCGCAUUUGAGAGCGUUGAAGCACGGCCCGUGAGUGGUCUCGGUGUUGGGGACAUGGCUUUCCAAUCUUUGGAGGCAUUCAAGGCCCGGCACAAUGACAAGCCAUUCACUCUUACGCAUUGUUGGACGCUCAUCAACAUGUGCCCUAAGUUCAAGGACCAAUACCGUGAACUACAAAGGAAGAGAGGACUGAAGACGGCCAAGUUCGCCGGAGGUGGAGAUGGCGAGGCGUUGAAGAGGCCGAGGGGCAAGACCAACUCCAAGGUGGACGACAUACGUGACGCCUUAUCCAUGGCCUUGCAUGAGACUUUGCAUGGCAUGAUGUCUCAAAAGGAUGUGAGGGACGAGAAGAAGCGGCAAAGCAAAGACGAGCAAAUGAAGCAAUACCUAGACCUUCAAAGACAGAAGCUUGAGAUGGAGGAGGCGGCCAAGAGGAGGAAGAUCGACAUGGGGGAGGCGGCCCGGCAAAGGCAGCUCGACAUGGAGGAGGCGGCCCGGCAAAGGCAGCUCGACAUCGAGGCCGACAACGUCAAGGCCAGGCAGAGGCAGCUCGACAUCAAGGCCACCAAUACCGCCACCAAAGCGAAGGAGGUGGCCCUUGCGAUCAUGAGCGUGGACUUGUCGAAGAUGAGCGACAAGACGAGGGCCUGGUUCGAGGCCAGGCAGAAGGAGAUGCUCGACGCCGAAGUCCUGAACUAG
rnacentral:rRNA from 1 species